rnacentral:rRNA from 1 species
UGCAGUCGAGCGGAGUUAGAGAAGCUUGCUUCUCUAACUUAGCGGCGGACGGGUGAGUAACACGUGGGCAAUCUGCCCGUAAGACUGGGAUAACUCCGGGAAACCGGGGCUAAUACCGGAUAACACUGACUCUCUCCUGAGAGUCAGUUGAAAGAUGGUUUCGGCUAUCACUUACGGAUGAGCCCGCGGCGCAUUAGCUAGUUGGUGAGGUAACGGCUCACCAAGGCGACGAUGCGUAGCCGACCUGAGAGGGUGAUCGGCCACACUGGGACUGAGACACGGCCCAGACUCCUACGGGAGGCAGCAGUAGGGAAUCUUCCGCAAUGGACGAAAGUCUGACGGAGCAACGCCGCGUGAGUGAAGAAGGUUUUCGGAUCGUAAAACUCUGUUGUUAGGGAAGAACACGUACGAGAGUAACUGCUCGUACCUUGACGGUACCUAACCAGAAAGCCACGGCUAACUACGUGCCAGCAGCCGCGGUAAUACGUAGGUGGCAAGCGUUGUCCGGAAUUAUUGGGCGUAAAGCGCGCGCAGGUGGUUCCUUAAGUCUGAUGUGAAAGCCCCCGGCUCAACCGGGGAGGGUCAUUGGAAACUGGGGAACUUGAGUGCAGGAGAGGAAAGUGGAAUUCCACGUGUAGCGGUGAAAUGCGUAGAUAUGUGGAGGAACACCAGUGGCGAAGGCGACUUUCUGGCCUGUAACUGACACUGAGGCGCGAAAAGCGUGGGGAGCAAACAG